UUACACUGCGAUUCGAAGGAUGAAGCCCAUCUUGCUGGGUGCCAUUGGUGGCGAACGGGUGAGUAACACGUGAGUAACCUGCCCCCGACUCUGGGAUAAGCCCGGGAAACUGGGUCUAAUACCGGAUAUGACCUCGCACCGCAUGGUGCGGGGUGGAAAGAUUUAUCGGUGGGGGAUGGACUCCCGGCCUAUCAGCUUGUUGGUGAGGUAAUGGCUCACCAAGGCGACAACGGGUAGCCGGCCUGAGAGGGUGACCGGCCACACUGGGGCUGAGACACGGCCCAGACUCCUCCCGGAGGCACCAGUGGGGAAUAUUGCCACUGGGCGCAAGCCUGAUGCACGACGCCGCGUGAGGGAUGACGGGUCUUCCCGGUUGUAACCUCUUUCACUAGGAAAAAUGCGAAAGUGACGGGUACCUGCAAAAGAACCCCCGGGAAAUACCUGCCAGGAACCCCCGUUAUACGU
rnacentral:rRNA from 1 species